GCGUGAUUAACAACACAGCGUAAUGCGCAACGGUGAACGCCAACGAACUCCACCACCAACCUGGACGAAGCAUUUUGGACUGAAGCUGCCUCGAUAUCUACAAUACAUUGGAUACUACGUGCAGGAUAAUGAAUGGCUACCUGAACGAUGCUUGAAGCGGCAAGCUCUACAGUAUCACUUAUGCUCCUUUCCAUGGGUUGGCAAGAGGAACCGUGGCACACAGCUCCACAGGCACCUGUGCUCUUCACUACCUUCGGAGAAGAUGCAUUGGAUGCUCCCUAUCAUGCACUGCCAUCUCAACAGUACCAUGGCUUUUUGUGUGGAUUCCUUCCAUUUUGAAUGCCA